rnacentral:rRNA from 1 species
GAUAACACUUAGAAAUAGGUGCUAAUACCGCAUAAGCGCACGAAGCCGCAUGGAUUUGUGUGAAAAACUCCGGUGGUGUAAGAUGGACCCGCGUCUGAUUAGCUUGUUGGCGGGGUAACGGCCCACCAAGGCGACGAUCAGUAGCCGGCCUGAGAGGGUGGACGGCCACAUUGGGACUGAGACACGGCCCAAACUCCUACGGGAGGCAGCAGUGGGGGAUAUUGGACAAUGGGGGGAACCCUGAUCCAGCGACGCCGCGUGAGUGAAGAAGUAUUUCGGUAUGUAAAGCUCUGUCAGCAGGGAAGAAAGAAAUGACGGUACCUGACCAAGAAGCCCCGGCUAACUACGUGCCAGCAGCCGCGGUAAUACGUAGGGGGCAAGCGUUAUCCGGAAUUACUGGGUGUAAAGGGAGCGUAGACGGUUAAGUAAGUCUGGAGUGAAAGGCCGGGGCUCAACCCCGGGACUGCUCUGGAAACUAUUUAACUUGAGUGCAGGAGAGGUAAGCGGAAUUCCUAGUGUAGCGGUGAAAUGCGUAGAUAUUAGGAGGAACACCAGUGGCGAAGGCGGCUUACUGGACUGUAACUGACGUUGAGGCUCGAAAGCGUGGGGGAGCAAACAGGAUUAGAUACCCUGGUAGUCCACGCCGUAAACGAUGAUUACUAGGUGU